rnacentral:rRNA from 1 species
UCUUCCCUCUUUCUUCGUGCCUAAUACAUGCAAGUCGAGCGAACGGACGAGAAGCUUGCUUUUCUGAUGUUAGCGGCGGACGGGUGAGUAACACGUGGAUAACCUACCUAUAAGACUGGGAUAACUUCGGGAAACCGGAGCUAAUACCGGAUAAUAUUUUGAACCGCAUGGUUCAAAAGUGAAAGACGGUCUUGCUGUCACUUAUAGAUGGAUCCGCGCUGCAUUAGCUAGUUGGUAAGGUAACGGCUUACCAAGGCAACGAUGCAUAGCCGACCUGAGAGGGUGAUCGGCCACACUGGAACUGAGACACGGUCCAGACUCCUACGGGAGGCAGCAGUAGGGAAUCUUCCGCAAUGGGCGAAAGCCUGACGGAGCAACGCCGCGUGAGUGAUGAAGGUCUUCGGAUCGUAAAACUCUGUUAUUAGGGAAGAACAUAUGUGUAAGUAACUGUGCACAUCUUGACGGUACCCAAUCAGAAAGCCACGGCUAACUACGUG